AAGCUUCGACUAAGGUUCGAUUCGAGCGUCAGCGAGAAAGCGUUGCCGCAGGCAACGACCCGAAGGGCGAAGCGCGCAGCGCUGAGUCAUCCUUCCCCCACCACCA
rnacentral:sRNA from 3 species